AACGCGAAGAACCUUACCUGGGCUUGAACCGCCGGUGACCAGCGGUGGAAACAUCGCCUUCUCGCAAGAGACACCGGUAGAGGUGCUGCAUGGCUGUCGUCAGCUCGUGCCGUGAGGUGUUGGGUUAAGUCCCGCAACGAGCGCAACCCUUACUCUUAGUUGCCACCCGCAAGGGGGAACUCUAAGAGGACUGCUCCGGAUAACGGAGAGGAAGGUGGGGAUGACGUCAAGUCAGCACGGCCUUUAUGUCCAGGGCUACACACGUGUUACAAUGCACGGUACAAACCGUCGCGAACCCGCGAGGGGGAGCUAAUCGGAGAAAACCGUGCUCAGUUCGGAUUGCAGUCUGCAACUCGACUGCAUGAAGCCGGAAUCGCUAGUAAUGGCGUAUCAGAACGACGCCGUGAAUACGUUCCCGGGCCUUGUACACACCGAGACGAC
rnacentral:rRNA from 1 species